rnacentral:rRNA from 1 species
GAUGAACGCUGGCGGCGUGCCUAAUACAUGCAAGUCGAGCGAACUGAUUAGAAGCUUGCUUCUAUGACGUUAGCGGCGGACGGGUGAGUAACACGUGGGCAACCUGCCUGUAAGACUGGGAUAACUUCGGGAAACCGAAGCUAAUACCGGAUAGGAUCUUCUCCUUCAUGGGAGAUGAUUGAAAGAUGGUUUCGGCUAUCACUUACAGAUGGGCCCGCGGUGCAUUAGCUAGUUGGUGAGGUAACGGCUCACCAAGGCAACGAUGCAUAGCCGACCUGAGAGGGUGAUCGGCCACACUGGGACUGAGACACGGCCCAGACUCCUACGGGAGGCAGCAGUAGGGAAUCUUCCGCAAUGGACGAAAGUCUGACGGAGCAACGCCGCGUGAGUGAUGAAGGCUUUCGGGUCGUAAAACUCUGUUGUUAGGGAAGAACAAGUACAAGAGUAACUGCUUGUACCUUGACGGUACCUAACCAGAAAGCCACGGCUAACUACGUGCCAGCCGCCGCGGUAA